CCGACCUUAGCUCAGUUGGUAGAGCGGAGGACUGUAGAUCCUUAGGUCAGGUCACUGGUUCGAAUCCGGUAUGUCGGA